UACGUAGGGUGCAAGCGUUGUCCGGAAUUAUUGGGCGUAAAGAGCUCGUAGGCGGUCUGUCGCGUCGACUGUGAAAACCCGGGGCUCAACCCCGGGCCUGCAUUCGAUACGGGCAGACUAGAGUUCGGUAGGGGAGUCUGGAAUUCCUGGUGUAGCGGUGAAAUGCGCAGAUAUCAGGAGGAACACCGGUGGCGAAGGCGGGACGCUGGGCCGAUACUGACGCUGAGGAGCGAAAGCGUGGGGAGCAAACAGG
rnacentral:rRNA from 1 species